AACACUGGCAGUGGGUUGUGCAAAAAUCGAACAGGACCUAAUAGCUACUUAACAAGCAAAUAACCACUACCACCACUGUGCCAAGCAACGUUAUUAAUAUCAAAAUCCAAAACAAACUCCGUUAGAAUAGCAAAAGGUUCUUAAAACUAAAAGGUAGUAAUAUUACCAAAAUGAACUUGACUAAAAUGAGAUACACGAAAAGAACAUCUACGGUUGCCAAAAAUAAGUAUCUCACCUAGCAAAAAUAAUAGUUUUAUAAAUGAGUUGGUCAAUGACUCUUUAUAUCCUAUUUAAAAAAACCAAAUUAGGUAUAUUCCCUAUUUUAAAAACCUCGACAUAAAUUUUAACAACCCUAUUCCCUAUCAAAUUUUAAUAUGCAAUUAUUUAUAAUGAUUAUUUACCAAGACCUGAUUUUAUUUAUGUAAAAAAACUAUUAUUUAUAUUGAACAAAAACAACAACCCAAAAACCCUGUCUAUCAAGAAAAUAUCUAGUUUACUUGAUCGUAUGCUUACGAAAAAGUGUACAGUUGUAAGCAAAUAUAUAGUAACCAAAA
rnacentral:lncRNA from 1 species